rnacentral:misc_RNA from 1 species
GAUGAAGAACGUAGCAAAAUGCGAUAAGUAAUGUGAAUUGCAGAAUUCAGUGAAUCAUCGAAUCUUUGAACGCACAUUGCGCCCGCCAGUAUUCUGGCGGGCAUGCCUGUUCGAGCGUCAUUUCAACCCUCAAGCUCAGCUUGGUGUUGGGACUCGCGGUAACCCGCGUUCCCCAAAUCGAUUGGCGGUCACGUCGAGCUUCCAUAGCGUAGUAAUCAUACACCUCGUUACUGGUAAUCGUCGCGGCCACGCCGUAAAACCCCAACUUCUGAAUGUUGACCUCGGAUCAGGUAGGAAUACCCGCUGAACUUAAGCAGAUCAAUAAGCGGAGGA